UACGGAGGAUGCGAGCGUUAUCCGGAUUUACUGGGUGUAAAGGGUGCGUAGGUGGCAGGGCAAGUCAGAUGUGAAAGCCCGGGGCUCAACCCCGGUACUGCAUUUGAAACUGUCCGGCUGGAGUGCAGGAGAGGUAAGCGGAAUGCGCAGUGUAGCGGUGAAAUGCAUAGAUAUUGCGCAGAACUCCGAUUGCGAAGGCAGCAUACCGGCUCCACACUGACGCUGAGGCACGAAAGCGUGGGUAUCGAACAGG
rnacentral:rRNA from 1 species